rnacentral:rRNA from 1 species
AUUGAACGCUGGCGGCAUGCCUUACACAUGCAAGUCGAACGGUAACGCGGGCUUCGGCCUGGCGACGAGUGGCGAACGGGUGAGUAAUGUAUCGGAACGUGCCCUGGAGUGGGGGAGUAGCUCGGCGAAAGACCGGAUUAAUACCGCAUACGAUCCAAGGAUGAAAGUAGGGGGACCGGCAAGGCCUCACGCUCCUGGAGCGGCCGAUAUCUGAUUAGCUAGUUGGUGGGGUAAAGGGCCUACCAAGGCGACGAUCAGUAGCUGGUCUGAGAGGACGACCAGCCACACUGGGACUGAGACACGGCCCAGACUCCUACGGGUGGCAG